GCUUUCUAAUUAUGGGCCAAAGUCUUGAUUCAAUGAGCCAAAACCAAUCCAAAGGAGAGAUGCUUUAUCAGCUUCUUAAUUCUGGGAAUGUUGAUGCUAUUAAAGCUCUUUGCAGAGAAGGUGCUAAUCUUGAGUGGAUUGACAAAGAAGGGAAAACUCCUCUCAUUGUGUCUUGCAUGGAUUCUGGGCUGUUCAAUGUUGCCAAAACUUUGAUUGAAAUGGGAGC
rnacentral:misc_RNA from 1 species